rnacentral:snRNA from 1 species
UUUCUCAAAAUAGAGAUCUCUA